rnacentral:rRNA from 1 species
AUACGUAGGUGACAAGCGUUAUCCGGAUUUACUGGGCGUAAAGGGCGUGUAGGCGGUCUUGCAAGUCAGAAGUGAAAUUCCUGAGCUCAACUCGGGCGCUGCUUCUGAAACUGCAGGACUUGAGUGCUGGAGGGGAUAGCGGAAUUCCUAGUGGAGCGGUAAAAUGCGCAGAUAUUAGGAAGAACACCGGUGGCGAAGGCGGCUAUCUGGACAGUAACUGACGCUGAGGCGCGAAAGCGUGGGGAGCAAACAGGAUUAGAUACCCGGGUAGUCCACGCCGUAAACGAUGAAUACUAGGUGUAGGGGGUAUCGACUCCCUCUGUGCCGCAGUUAACACAAUAAGUAUUCCGCCUGGGGAGUGCGGCCGCAAGGUUGAAACUCAAAGGAAUUGACGGGG